CCUACGGGUGGCAGCAGUGAGGAAUAUUGGGCAAUGGGCGAGAGCCUGACGCAGCGAAGCCGCGUGAGGGAUGAAGGUCUUCAGAUCGGAAAACUCUGUCAGCCAGGGAGCACGGACACUGUGCUAAUCACCAGUGAAUUGACGGUACCUGCAAAGGACGCACCGGCUAAUUCCGUGCCAGGCGACGCGGUAAUACGGAGGGAGGGAGCGUUAAUCGGUAUUACUGGGCGUAAAGCGCUCGUAGGCGGUAUGUCAAGGCAAGGGUGAAAUCCCCGCGCUCAACGUGGGAACUGCCGUUGAAACUGGCAAACUGGAGUUUGAGAGAAGAUAGUGGAAUUCGAGGUGUAGGAGUGAAAUCCGUAGAUAUCGCGAGGAACAUCAGUGGCGAAGGCGACUAUCUGGCACAAAACUGACGCUGAGGAGCGAAAGCGUGGGUAGCAAACAGGAUUAGAUACCCGUGUAGUC
rnacentral:rRNA from 1 species